UUGAAAAAAAUUGAAAUGGACUAGGGAAAGAAUAAUGACUGUUAAAAUAUUUCAUAUUACUAUAAAUAUUAUAUAUCUUGAGUCUAUGAAUUCAAGAAUCAUUAAUGAUGAAAAUUUAUUAAUUGUAAAGUGUGAUUCAUGCUUUAUAUAAAACCAAAACAAAACCAAACAAACAAAAAAUCCACCAGUCCAAAACACAUUAAGAAUCCAACUGGAGUCAAUGGGCUAGGUGAUUACACUGAGAAUGUCAAAGCCAUUUUGCUCCAACCACUAUCACCUAAACAAAAGAUAAUUAGGGACUGAAAGAAUAGGAAACUAUCAUGGAGCCUCUGUGGGUAUGUACUAGGUCCUCCACAUACAUGGAGGGGUAUUUAAUUUGGACUUUUCAUAGGACUCCUAACUGGGAGUGGGGCUUUCUGACUCUUUUGCCUGAUCAGGGGACCCUUCUUCUCCUACUGGGCUGCCUUGUCCAGCCUCUAUAUGAAGCUUUGUGGUUAGUUUUAUUGCAUCUACUUGUGCUGUGCUCAGUUGGUAGUCUUGUGAGGCCUGCUCUUUUCUGAAGAGAAGUGAAGGAGGAGUAGAUGUAGAGGAGAUGGAAGUUGGGGGGCAUGGCAUUGGAGGAGAGGGAGGCUGUGGUAGGGAUGUAUUGUAUGAGAGAAGAAUAAAGAAAAAGGAAAAAAAAAGAAGAGAAAUCACUGGCAGUAUCAAAGGUUGAGAUUUCUGUUUUUCACUUCUUAACCUGCAUACUUCUUAACUUAUUAACUUCAUAAGUGUUCUUAUUCUAAGUUAGUCAACUUAAAGCCACUCUAUGAAAGAAUGAGAGGUCCUGAAGAUUGCAGAUUCUUAGAAGCAUAGGCUCUUAGAGUAGUGAGAAAAUCAUAGAUGCAGAGUCCUUAAUAAGAUUAAUCUCCUAUUUCUGCAUGGCAGUUAUUAAAAAAGAAAUUUAUUGAUUUAUAGACAAUUAUCCAAACCUCCAAGAACACUUUUGGGUAUAGGAUAAAGCACAGAGUAGCCUCAGAUUAUGUUUAUACUCAAGAACAUGAAUACAAGCUAUGAUCUUAGAGAAGCCAAUUUCAUUAAAUUAUGAAUUCUUCUUUUGCAAAUGGAGGUAAAAACAUCUUCCUCCUGCUUUAUCGAGCAUGGGAAUAAAGUUCCUUAGCAGUCAUUACAACAGUGUUGAUGAUAGGAUUAUUGUCACCCAGAACAAUUUUUUUCUAGUUCAUGAGAUAAUUCACUGUAAAAAAAAAAAAAAAAGAGUUUGUAAGCCCAAGGAAGCACCUGACAGGAGACAGAAAGGCUGAGGUCCUCUUCCUAUCCCCUUGCACCACCCCAGCCCUGCUCUAGCCUGCAACAUCUGCAGUCCCUAGGCACCUCCUUUCAUUUAUAACAAUGGUGUGCUUAGAGGAAGGCUCACUACCUAUAGGUCUGGGCUGGACAUCACUGCCUUCCCACUGAGGAGGCUCAUCCGAGUAACAGCUCAUCCUUCUCUGUGAAAUUUCUGCCCUGGGGCAAUCUUUUAAAGGGAUUUUAAAACCUUCUGACAUGUUUGCCAUUUAAGCAAGCUGAGUAGAGCUAAAGAAGCAGCACGGGACCUGGAAACGACUUCAGAAAGUGUAAAAAUAAUGAGUCUUGUUCCUUUUCUGCCAGAAGGGCUGCGGCAGCUCUCUGCCCUUCCUUAUGCAUGCCUGCAGGCAUGAUUUUACUCUGGACAGUUAUUCUCUUUGAGUCUUUCAGUUCCUCUUAGAUUUUAUCUGCUUCUUUCUCCCUUUCUCUUUAUUUGUUUUUUUUUCUAUUAUUUUCUUUUUCUUUUCUAGUUAGCAAUAAAGCACUGUGAGCUGAUGAACUACCACUUGUAAAUAAUAAGAAGUCAUAAUGUUUCCUAGUCAGAAUGCUCAGAGUCCUCUGGUAGACGGAUAUUGUGGUCCAUGGUAGUUCUUUUGUCUUGGCAGGACUGAGCAUGACACCUUCCCUAUAACCAGGGAUACCUGGUUUAUCUCUUCCUAACACAUCAUUUUUCUCCUUGGUACGCACACAUCCCUCCCCAUCCUCACUGUUGUUUGCACUUGUUUCUGUCCUCCACUGUCUCAGUUUCUCUCCUUUAAGAGGUUUUGUGUGCUCAAUCUCUCUUUAUUCUAUGAUGUCUAAAUGGAUCACUGAUGUACUAAACCAAUGCCCCACAUAGAGCCAAUGUCCUCUUCUAUCUUUACUCAGUAAGAUCUUGGCCUGAGCUCACUCUCUUGGCAGCAGCCCAAAGGAGCUAGCAUCUUUUGUCUGGUUUUCUAUAUGGAAACAUUAGCCGCAGGUUAAAGUUUAUAGCUACUAUGUUCUUUCUCAGAUUGUUUACUCCUCCUCUUCAAAGAAAACGCUCUGAACUCUUGAAAAUGUUGUUUAGAGUGUUUCCAUGAUAUUUCUUCACUUGUUAUACUAUCUUUUGAUUCCUAAAAUGAUAGUCCUAAGUUUUGUUUUCUUGCAUCACUUCAUUGCUUGGUUCUGUCUGCUGCCCCUGGUUACACAAAUGAUAAUGUUUAAAUAUUUUAACCCAGACUCAGGCUUAUCUUUUUCCUAAUCCUAGUAUAUCUAGACUCCUAUCACUAUUUGUAGAGUUCUCAUAACUAUGUUCCAUAUUUUCUUGUUAUUAUUCUAAAGUAGCCUGCCUUUGUUUUUGCCUAACACAUUCUUUGUGUCCUAGAGAUUCCCCAUCUGCUUUUCUCACAUCGAGUAAAUUUAUAUUGCUGUGGAUAGUAUUUUAUUUUACAGAGGCAUGGGAAUAUCAAGGAGCCGAGACUACAGGAGCAGCUGUUCCCACAAAAUGAGAGACAUGGACUUUAUGUCCUUAUAGGAAGACAUCCUGAAGUGUUAUUUGCUUUAUCACAAAGGCCCCUGUACUUGUUAGUUUUAUGUUAAUUUGACACACUCUAAGGUCAUCUUGGAAGAAGGAUCCACAAU
rnacentral:lncRNA from 1 species